UUCUGGUGGAAUCUGUGUUACCUGAGGUUUUCUCUUCGAAAAACGACUUAAUCGUUGCUGACUUGACAAUUGAAGAUGCCAGACUCUUGUGCAGCCUAUGGAUGCGCUAAUCGGCGUUGUCUCGAAAUGAGAACCAGUGGGAUCACCUUUCACAAGUUUCCCAAAACCGGAGAGAGGAGGCGUAUGUGGGAACUUGCCCUAAGAAGGGGCGGUUUUGCUGCCUCUGACAGGACCGUGCUCUGCAGUGACCACUUCAGGAGUGAGGACUUCGACAGA